rnacentral:tRNA from 1 species
UUAAUUGAAGCCAAAGGGGGGAGGCACCUUAAUGUUAAUAAGGAAAAUGAUUUUAAUAAUCCAAUUAAU